AGUAACACUGGGUAACCUGCCUUAUGGAGGGGGGUAACAGAGAGAAAUCACUGCUAAUACCGCAUAAGCACACAGUACCGCAUGGUACAGGGUGAAAAGAUUUAUCGCCAUAAGAUGGACCCGCGUCUGAUUAGCCAGUUGGCAGGGUAAAAGCCUACCAAAGCAACGAUCAGUAGCCGAUCUGAGAGGAUGACCGGCCACAUUGGGACUGAGACACGGCCCAA
rnacentral:rRNA from 1 species